UACGUAGGGUGCAAGCGUUGUCCGGAUUUAUUGGGCGUAAAGAGCUCGUAGGCGGUCUGUCGCGUCGGCUGUGAAAACCCGGGGCUCAACUCCGGGCCUGCAGUCGAUACGGGCAGACUAGAGUUCGGUAGGGGAGACUGGAAUUCCUGGUGUAGCGGUGAAAUGCGCAGAUAUCAGGAGGAACACCGGUGGCGAAGGCGGGACUCUGGGCCGAUACUGACGCUGAGGAGCGAAAGCGUGGGGAGCGAACAGG
rnacentral:rRNA from 1 species